UCUUCAUUCCACAUGCUUUCUCAGCCAAUCAAGCAGACGAGAUAGCGUAUGGAAUGAAGAGA
rnacentral:pre_miRNA from 1 species